AAUGAACGUUGGCGGCGUGGAUUAGGCAUGCAAGUCGUGCGGAAAGGCUCCUUCGGGAGUACUCGAGCGGCGAAAGGGAGAGUAACGCGUGGAUAUCUACCCCCUGGCCUGGGAUAGCGGCGGGAAACUGCCGGUAAUACCAGAUAAUAUCUGCGGAUCAAAGGUGUGAUUCCGCCGGGGGAGGAGUCCGCGUCCUAUUAGCUAGUUGGUGAGGUAACGGCCCACCAAGGCUGAGAUGGGUACCGUGUGUGAGAGCAUGGCCCGGCUCACUGGGACUGAGACACUGCCCAGACACCUACGGGUGGCUGCAGUCGAGAAUCUUCGGCAAUGGGCGCAAGCCUGACCGAGCGACGCCGCGUGCGGGAUGAGGGCCUUCGGGUUGUAAACCGCUGUCAGAGGGGAGGAAAUGCAUGGGGGUUCUCCCUCAUGUUUGACCUAUCCUCAGAGGAAGUACGGGCUAAGUUCGUGCCAGCAGCCGCAGUAA
rnacentral:rRNA from 1 species